rnacentral:rRNA from 1 species
CGAACGAGAUCUUCGGAUCUAGUGGCGCACGGGUGAGUAACGCGUGGGAACCUACCUUUUAGUACGGGACAACGUCUGGAAACGGACGCUAAUACCGCAUACGCCCUCAGGGGGAAAGGCUUCGGCCACUCUAAGACGGUCCCGCGUCUGAUUAGCUUGUUGGUAAGGUAACGGCUUACCAAGGCGACGAUCAGUAGCUGGUCUGAGAGGAUGAUCAGCCACACUGGGACUGAGACACGGCCCAGACUCC